CCCAUCGAAAGCCUAAGGCUUCCUGAGGAAGGCUCGUCCACUCAGGGUAAGUCGGGACCUAAGCCGAGGCCAAAGGGCGUAGGCGAUGGACAACUGGUUGAAAUUCCAGUACCGCCUUUGAGCGUUUGAGAGAAGUGGUGACACAGAAGGGUAAGUUAGCGCACUGAUGGAAUAGUGCGUCUAAGUAAGUAGGGAGAUGUUACAGGCAAAUCCGUAGCAUCAAUUCUGAGAUACGAAUGGGAGCGAAAAUAAGUAGUGAAGUAGCUGAGCCCACGCUGUCAAGAAAAGCCUCUAUCGAGCAAGAAGGUGCCCGUACCGCAAACCGACACAGGUAGGCAAGGAGAGAAUCCAAAGAUGAGCGGAAGAACUAUUGUUAAGGAACUAGGCAAAAUGACCCCGUAACUUCGGGAGAAGGGGUGCCGGGUGGUGUGAAGAUUGAACAAUUGGAGCACAACCCGGCCACAGAAAACAGGCCCAAGCGACUGUUUACCAAAAACACAGGUCUCUGCUAAAUCGAAAGAUGAAGUAUAGGGGCUGACACCUGCCCGGUGCUGGAAGGUUAAGGGGAGAAGUCAUCGAAAGAGAAGCUUUGAACUUAAGCCCCAGUAAACGGCGGCCGUAACUAUAACGGUCCUAAGGUAGCGAAAUUCCUUGUCGGGUAAGUUCCGACCCGCACGAAAGGUGUAACGAUUUGGGCACUGUCUCAACAAUAGAUCCGGUGAAAUUGUAGUACUCGUGAAGAUGCGAGUUACCCGCGGCAGGACGGAAAGACCCCAUGGAGCUUUACUGCAGGCUGACAUUGGAAUUCGGUAGCAAUUGUACAGAAUAGGUGGGAGACAAAGAAGCCAGUACGCCAGUAUUGGUGGAGUCAACGUUGGGAUACCACUCUAUUGUUACUGAAUUUCUAACAUGGUACCGUGAACCGGUACAUGGACACUGUCAGUUGGGCAGUUUGACUGGGGCGGUCGCCUCCGAAAGAGUAACGGAGGCGCUCAAAGGUUCCCUCAGCACGGUCGGAAAUCGUGCGAAGAGUGUAAAGGCAGAAGGGAGCUUGACUGCGAGAGAGACAUCUCGAGCAGGAACGAAAGUUGGACUUAGUGAUCCGGUGGCACCGAGUGGAAAGGCCAUCGC
rnacentral:rRNA from 1 species